ACAAACGUACUGGAAGAAAGACAUUUUAUUGAAUCAGAAGUAGAAAAAUACCUCGAGCCAGAAGCGGAGACAACUUCGAGAGGUGAUAAGAGAAAAACAAGAAUUGAGAGAAUAAUGGAACACCCUUCUGUAGACAGGAUCACUAAUGAUAUUCAAGGAAGGGCAGCUGCUGUAAAUAACUUCAUGCGUGGUCUUCAACUGCAGAAAUACCGACCAUCUACAAAAAUUAGAACGGAUGGAACCUUUCUUCUGUUUUUUUAGGCAAGGAAUCAACUGAUGGACUAUAUAAGGAGUUGCAUGAAAUGAACCCGACAGAUACAGAGAAGAUGUAUCUAGUGGACGCUGGCCUGGCAUUCAACUCUCCGUUCCCUCUUAUACUACGACCAGAACGUGAAGUUGAUCUCAUCCUGUCAUUUGAUUUCAGUGCAAGAGAAAGUGACAAAGCCGACCCAUUUACAGUUCAGUAUUUUUGAUCACAAGAAAUUUUCUUUGAUGGAUUGACACAUUAUGAUUGCUCUGCGUAAUUAUAAGACGCGACUAAAUUGGUUAAAAUAACUGGUGUGUAUGCUUCUCUUAGCUCUAGCAGGAACUACGACUAGCCGCUGAUUGGGCAAAACUUCAUGAGAUACCCUUUCCUGACAUCAACACAACUGAAAUUGGUAGUGAAGACUUAAAGGAAUGUAUGUCUUUGAAAACCCUGAUGAUCAUACUUGUCCGAUUGUCAUGCAUUUCAUUCUCAUCAACAAUGAAUUCAGGAAGUUUAAAUCACCAGGCGUUUCCAGGGAAACGGAGGAAGAGGAAGUGUUCGGUGAGUUUGACGUAUUUGAAGAUAAAGAUACACCUUAUUCAACCUUUAAAUUCCAAUACUCAGAACGAGCUUUCGACCGACUUGCCAGCCUUAUGGAAUUCAACACACUACUCUAUAAGGAUAUGAUUUUCAACAACAUAAAAAAUGUGUAGAAAACCGUAAAAAAAGAGUGCUUUCGAAGUUAGGAAAGGUUGUUUCAGAUGCAGGUGACAAAAAAUAAGUGACCGAUUAUAUAAACCCCUGUGAAAAUGUCUGAUAUAUUUUGUCCUAGAGUUAAAAUAUACUUACUUCUUCAAGCUGUUUUGACAGAUAGGGAACGGUUUAAAGUAAAAAGGUUCAAAUUUCAGGAAUAAUUUGUAUACUAGCAAAUAGAUAUAACUUUAAGAAAAAUUUAAAAUAUGCAAAUGUGUUAAUAUGCGUUUACCUGUGGAUGCUUUAGAAAUGCAACUUUGCAGUUUACUGCAAAAGGAUUUUGACGAAACAUUUUGUCCCGCCUUUCAAGAUGCUGUUCCUUAAGGCAAAUUUGUAAAUUUUAAAUAACAUUAUUGCCUCGAAAACUAAAUACAUAUUUUCGAAAGCAAAGACCUGCAACAUGUUUUGCCAAUAUCAGAUUACUGCAUGACAAAAGCGUCAUCGCACAAAAUGUCUACAGUGCAAUACUUGUUGGUCAAAAUUUGUUAUAAUGAAUAGACUAUAAGAAUGCAAUCAAACACUGGGUCCGAAGACUUUUUAUAUAUGUUGAAGGUGAAUAUUUUAAGAGAACAAGAAGGACAAAUAAGUGAAAACUAUAAUGAAUCUUAGAUGCAUUUAACUUGGAACACUCCUUUCAAAAAUCCACGUAGGUGUGAGGUAUCUUAAUAUGCAACUUAGGAACCUGUGAAUUAAGAAAAUUCCACAAAAAUAUAUUAAAACUUCAAUCGGCACAAAACUUGAACAAUUCCAAUCCACAGUUUAUUUAAAUAUAAACCCUUAUUUCCUUAUACAAACAUAGGUUAACAAUAUGCCAAGCGUUCCAUUACCUUGCUAUAUGAAAUGGACAUUAUUUCAUGUUAAUUCCUACUCUUAGUAUAAUAUAUCUGUGAAACAGUU